UUCUAUGGCCUUGCUCCCCUGAACAAGCCCGAUCCCGGCUGAUCUCAGAAGCUAAGCAGGGUCGGGCCUGGUUAGUACUUGAAUGGGAGACUGCCUAGGAAGACCAGGUGCUGUAGGCA
rnacentral:rRNA from 1 species